CGUGCUUAACACAUGCAAGUCGAACGGUGAACACGGAGCUUGCUCUGUGGGAUCAGUGGCGAACGGGUGAGUAACACGUGAGCAACCUGCCCCUGACUCUGGGAUAAGCGCUGGAAACGGCGUCUAAUACUGGAUAUGUGACGUGACCGCAUGGUCUGCGUCUGGAAAGAAUUUCGGUUGGGGAUGGGCUCGCGGCCUAUCAGCUUGUUGGUGAGGUAAUGGCUCACCAAGGCGUCGACGGGUAGCCGGCCUGAGAGGGUGACCGGCCACACUGGGACUGAGACACGGCCCAGACUCCUACGGGAGGCAGCAGUGGGGAAUAUUGCACAAUGGGCGCAAGCCUGAUGCAGCAACGCCGCGUGAGGGACGACGGCCUUCGGGUUGUAAACCUCUUUUAGCAGGGAAGAAGCGAAAGUGACGGUACCUGCAGAAAAAGCGCCGGCUAACUACGUGCCAGCAGCCGCGGUAAUACGUAGGGCGCAAGCGUUAUCCGGAAUUAUUGGGCGUAAAGAGCUCGUAGGCGGUUUGUCGCGUCUGCUGUGAAAUCCGGAGGCUCAACCUCCGGCCUGCAGUGGGUACGGGCAGACUAGAGUGCGGUAGGGGAGAUUGGAAUUCCUGGUGUAGCGGUGGAAUGCGCAGAUAUCAGGAGGAACACCGAUGGCGAAGGCAGAUCUCUGGGCCGUAACUGACGCUGAGGAGCGAAAGGGUGGGGAGCAAACAGGCUUAGAUACCCUGGUAGUCCACCCCGUAAACGUUGGGAACUAGUUGUG
rnacentral:rRNA from 1 species